AUGUGUUACUUGGGAAACUGCCCCAAAUACUUAGCGGACAAGAAGGCCGGCAACACUAAAGGUAUAUUUGAUAUACAUGUAAUUGAUGUGUACCUUACCAGUACUCGUAGUAACUCCUGGGUAUUUGAUAUCGGUGCCGUUGCUCACAUUUGUAACUCACAGCAGGAGCUGCGGAAUAAGCGGAGACUGGCGAAGGACGAGGUGACGAUGCGCGUCGGGAAUGGUUCAAAGGUCGAUGUGAUCGCCGUCGGCACGCUACCUCUACAUUUACCUACGGGAUUAGUUUUAAACCUCAAUAAUUGUUAUUUAGUGCCAAGUUUGAGCAUGAACAUUGUAUCUGGAUCUCGUUUAAUACGAGAUGGAUACUCAUUUAAAUCCGAGAAUAAUGGUUGUUCUAAUUAUAUGAGAGAUAUGUUUUAUGGUCAUGCCCCGAUGGUCAAUGGUUUAUUCUUAAUGAAUCUCGAACGUAAUGUUACACAUAUUCAUAGUGUGAAUACCAAAAGAUGUAAAGUUGAUAACGAUAGUCCCACAUACUUGUGGCACUGCUGCCUUGGUCAC
rnacentral:rRNA from 1 species